AUUCUUUUCUCGAGAGUUAUGCACAAGCUCUUACACCUACACUGACAGUGAAUCCACCGGUGAUCUCAGAGACAGACUCAGUCACUCUGCACUGUCAGACUCCAUCAUCUGUUCCUGUGUCUCAGUGUUAUUUCUACACUUUAAGUGGAGGAACUGUCAAAGACUUCUCUUGUCUGAAGACACUGACAGGAACUGAGCUGCUGGAGAUGUCACGUCAGAGUUCACCUGCUGAGGUUAAAGUUACAUGUUUUUACACUGUAAAGCUUGGAGACAUAAAUUCUCCAUCUCCACACAGUGACACAUCCUCCGUCACCAUACACACUCUUCUUCCACCUACACUGACAGUGAAUCCACCGGUGAUCUCAGAGACAGACUCAGUCACUCUGCACUGUCAGACUCCAUCAUCUGUUCCUGUGUCUCAGUGUUAUUUCUACACUUUAAGUGGAGGAACUGUCAGAGUCUUCUCUUGUCUGAAGACACUGACAGGAACUGAGCUGCUGGAGAUGUCACAUCAGCGUUCACCUGCUGAGACCAAAAGUAAACGUCACUGCUUUGCAGGGUGGUUAUGAUGAAACCUACAGUAUCGUCACCUAUGAAUGCAACACUGAGUGACAACAGCAGCACCUCCGAGAAGCUACAUCAGCCCUGAGAGAGACCGUGUACAGCCCUCUAAAGUCAAUUUGAAAUUCAAACGUUGUUUUUCUUGCAUCUUUUUUCUUGCUUAUGUACAAGUUAAUUGAUCUUAACAGUAUUUACAUCAUUACCCCACAAGAGCAGACGUUAGAAUGGUGAUAUGGCUCAGUUGAACUUUAUUGAAUUGAUAGUUUGGUCAGAACAUAACAUGUAUCAAUGCUUUGAAUAAUAAAAUCCAUGUACACAAU
rnacentral:lncRNA from 1 species